rnacentral:rRNA from 1 species
UUUAAUUCGAAGCAACGCGCAGAACCUUACCAGCCCUUGACAUCCCGGUCGCGGAUUACAGAGAUGUUUUCCUUCAGUUCGGCUGGACCGGAGACAGGUGCUGCAUGGCUGUCGUCAGCUCGUGUCGUGAGAUGUUGGGUUAAGUCCCGCAACGAGCGCAACCCUCGCCCUUAGUUGCCAGCAUUCAGUUGGGCACUCUAAGGGGACUGCCGGUGAUAAGCCGAGAGGAAGGUGGGGAUGACGCCAAGUCCUCAUGGCCCUUACGGGCUGGGCUACACACGUGCUACAAUGGUGGUGACAGUGGGCAGCGAGCACGCGAGUGUGAGCUAAUCUCCAAAAGCCAUCUCAGUUCGGAUUGCACUCUGCAACUCGAGUGCAUGAAGUUGGAAUCGCUAGUAAUCGCGGAUCAGCAUGCCG